UUCUUUUUUUUUUUAUGUUUUUAGCCUCUAAACCUUAGAGGUUACAGGAAGGUAACCUAAUGUUUUUAUUUUGUAGCUUAUAUAUUUUUGUGUUUCCCCCUCGCCUCCUCUUUGGUUGCAGUUCUUACAGGAAAAGUAAGGAAACUGAUUGAUUUUGUUGACAGCAGGAACGGCCUUUCGCCAGCUUCAUCCCAACACACCCAGUCAGACUGCUCACUUCUAGGCCUGUGCACUCCUGAACAGUUCAGUGUUCGAGACUUCUCUGUGGUUGGUUCUUCACAAUGGCUCCUAGAGCAUCGUUCCCUAAUGUCUUGCAUUUGACUCAGUCUCUUGGUAAAUUUUUUUUUGUUGUUGUUCAUAAAAUUAACUCUCUCUGGAUAUAAAAUAUCUAGCUCAUAGUUUCUUUUCCUUGAGUAUAUUAAGUCCAUUUUUCUUUUUCUUCUAACAUAUAGCAUUGCUGUCAAAGUCUGGCUGUCAAUUUAUUCUCACUAUAUGCCAGAUUCUAUUCUUAUAUAGGAGUACAAAGAAUUUCUUUUCUGUCUGUUAAUUUUCAUUAGAAUGUAUCUUUGUAUUGAUCAUUCUGAGUUAAUUUCCUUGGGUAUUUAAUCUGUGCUUUUAGUAUAUUUUAGGGAAAAAAAUGUAACUGCAAGGAAAUUUUAUUGACAUCUAGCUUUUGUUUUUCUUUCUUUAUUUAUUUUAUUCUACUCUUGCAUGCUUUUGUUCUUUUUUGCUAGCUGUCAGUGUUUUCCAGUUUCUUGGAAACCCUUUGUAUCUUACUUUUUAAAAUUGUUAAAGGGAUACUCUGUUUCCGUUUGUACCUCUCUUAGGCGUAUUAUUUGUGCUCAGGUGCCCCUAGAUUCCACAUCACUUAGAAAUCUUCUCAAAAGUGAGCUUUACCUCUCUUCUUUUCUAGGUUGUUCCUUAGCGUCUUACUUUUGUGUGCGUGUCUUUUAGUUCUUUGGGAGUAGUUUGUGGUAGGUUUGAUCUACUUUCAGAUCUGAGAAUAUCUUUCUGGUGUAAAUGGGAAGUGUGUUACUUUCUCUUCUAUCUGCUAAGUUUGUGUGGGAUCUGACCAAUGGCAUUAUCCAUUGCUCAUCUCGGUUUGAAAUCAUAUUUCCUGAACUGAUGGAAUAAGAUUUAAUUCAGGUCUCCCACCUAGGGUAGUAGUUGUUGUUGUUUUUGCUCUGUUUGUGUGUAUGGAUGAGUGUGUGUGUGUGUGUGUGUGUGUGGUUGUAUUGGUGCUUUAAUAAUGUAAUAUUAGGGAAAUAUGGAGACUUUUAAAGGGACUUCUUAACUUUGUUUUCCUUUCCCAUACUUAGGUCUUUUCUUAAUCCUGAUAACCUUUACUCUACUCAGUUUUUAUUCGCUUGCCAGCAUGGGUCCUUGUUCUGGUAAAAGAUGACCCAGGAGUCAGACAGUGAGUAUCUUAGGACUGGACUGUCCUUGUUUAAGCUCCUAGUGCUCAUCUACUGUUGGGUGCACAGAAUCUUGCCCAGUAUCUUUCUGCAUACUUGAAGCUUAUAGUGAACACCCACUGCCUGCUAAGUGUACCUUGUACCCCAGUGCUUUCUUCACACAGGUGCCAGUCUUAAGCAGGCUUUUGGAGGUCAGUGGCUUCUCUCACUUGCAUAUAGUUUGUUUAUUUAUUUAUUUCACUUCAUAAUAAUAUUUCUCAAAUUCUUCCAUAUUUUCCUGUCCUUGCUGCCCAGAUUUUAGAACCUGAUUUUCCUGCUUCCAGUUUACCUACUGCCCCACACUGCAAACUGGAGUAAUCUUUAUGAACACCAAAUCUGAAUGUGCCCCUUCCUCUGGGACCGACCCCACCACGAUGCCCACGAUGCUCAGUAAGCUGAGAUUCCAUACAGGAAGCCUGGGCCCUGAAAACACCAAUGCUUGCUUUCAUAUUUAGGGCUUUCCUUUUCCUCUUCUGUCCUAUGACUCUCAAGUCUGAUGUGAGAAACAGUUCUCAGCAAUUCUUUAACUGUCAGAAUAAUUCUCACCCCAAGAGCUUGGUCUACAGUGUUCUUUGCCCAACCCUGACUUUAAAUUUACUUAUUUUCCAUGUACAUAUGUGUACACGCAUGUAUGACACGGCACAUGUGACGGUCAAAGAACAACUUACUGUUAUUGGUUCUUUUUAUCAUUUGUGUUCCAGUCAUCAGGCUUGGUGACAAGCACAUUUACCUGCUGACUGAAGAGGCAUGUCACCAAUCCCAUGGCUUCUUGUUGAAAGAUAAAAUUACAGAAUGCCGUUACAAUGAAUUUUUAAGGGAAAAUUCAACAAAUUGCAUGUCUUUUAAAGUAUUCUGUAAAUUCAUUAGCAUUCUCUAUACAGUGGGUGGCAUUAGAUUGCUUUCUGUUGCUGUGAUAAAUAGCACGAACGGUAGCAGCUUGGGGAGGAAAGAGCUUAUUUGGCUAACAGGUCCUGGUAAUAGUUCAUCAUUGAGGGAAGGUAGGAUAAUAACUGAAGCAAGAGGAGAGCCAGGAACUACAGCGAAGCACUGCUUUCUGGUUUGCUCUGUCUGGUUUCUCAUACACCUCAAGAGCAUCUGCCCAGGGAGUGGUACCACUCACAGUAGACCUGAGCCUUCUUGAAUCAAUCACU
rnacentral:lncRNA from 1 species